UGAUUAAUGUGGAUAGUUAUGGGUAAAAUACACAAAUAUUUCAAAAUAAGCAAGUGGUUAUGAAAUAUUCAUUGUUGUCGGAGAAUAUUCGUUUGGUCGUGGAAUAUUCGUACUGUCGGGGAAUAUUCGUACGACGGCGCAGCCAUGUGUGGACCCCAUAACGGAAAGCGAUUGGAGGAAGAAAACGACAAAUAUAAGUUGUUUAAAAAUAACGG
rnacentral:lncRNA from 1 species